rnacentral:rRNA from 1 species
CCUACGGGUGGCAGCAGUGAGGAAUAUUGGUCAAUGGACGAGAGUCUGAACCAGCCAAGCAGCGUGAAGGAUGACUGCUCUAUGUGUUGUAAACUUCUUUUAUAAAGGAAUAAAACGAGGUACGUGUGCCUUUUUGCACGUAUUUCUUGAAUAAGGCUCGGCUAACGCUGCGCCAGCAGCCGCGGUAAUACGGAGGAUCCGAGCGUUAUCCGGAUUUAUUGGGUUUAAAGGGUGCGUAGAUGGGUAUGUAAGUCAGUAGUGAAAGUUUGCGGCUCAACCGUGAAAUUGCAAUUGAUACUGGCAGGCUGGAGUACAGUUGAGGUAGGCGGAAUUCGUGGUGUAGCGGUGAAAUGCUUAGAUAUCACGAAGAACCCCGAUUGCGAAGGCAGCUUACUAAACUGUGACUGACAUUGAGGCUCGAAAGUGUGGGGAUCAAACAGGAUUAGAUACCCGUGUAGUC